UCUGUUACGAAAACAGUUGCCAGGUGCUAAAUCAUAACCGCGAAGAUACAAUAUCAAGUACAUACAAAUGUAUGUAAAAUUUAUGUAAAAAAAUGUUCGUAAAGUAUCAUUUUUCUCGUACAAUUUACUCGAUUUUGCACGUAUUUGUAUUUGAAUCCAUUAAAGAGUAGAAGACUACUAUGUGACACAAGAACAUGAAACUGCAGAGGCCGUCGGAGUCUCGUGAAAGCGUCCUUGCCGCUUGAACUUGCGCAGCGUCUGUUAUGCAUUAUGCCCGGUCAUUAUUAGCCAAGUGAAGCAAUGAUCACUCAUUAAUGGAUGCUGGAUAGAAAUUUAAUGAAACAUUUUGUCCUAGAAUAGACAUAUUUUAUUUAUUAAAUAAAAUAAUAAAUAAAAAUCAACAGAUUUUAUUUUAUCAUUUGCACUUUCGUUUACGUAACCAAAUAUUCCACGAAUAAGAAAUGAUAUUCAUGACUUACAUAGUUGCUAGUGUACUCAAAUAAUAAAUCUCAUGCACACAAGA